UACGUAGGCAGCAAGCGUUGUUCGGAGUUACUGGGCGUAAAGGGUGCGUAGGCGGCUUUUUAAGUUUGGUGUGGAAUCUCCCGGCUCAACUGGGAGGGUGCGCCGAAUACUGAGAAGCUAGAGUGUGGGAGAGGAAAGUGGAAUUCCUGGUGUAGCGGUGAAAUGCGUAGAUAUCAGGAGGAACACCGGUGGCGAAGGCGGAUCUCUGGGCCUUACCUGACGCUGAGGCGCGAAAGCUAGGGGAGCGAACAGG
rnacentral:rRNA from 1 species